CCUACGGGGGGCAGCAGUGAGGAAUAUUGGUCAAUGGACGAGAGUCUGAACCAGCCAAGUAGCGUGAAGGAUGACUGCCCUAUGGGUUGUAAACUUCUUUUAUAUGGGAAUAAAACGUUCCACGUGUGGGAUUUUGUAUGUACCAUAUGAAUAAGGAUCGGCUAACUCCGUGCCAGCAGCCGCGGUAAUACGGAGGAUCCGAGCGUUAUCCGGAUUUAUUGGGUUUAAAGGGAGCGUAGGUGGAUUGUUAAGUCAGUUGUGAAAGUUUGCGGCUCAACCGUAAAAUUGCAGUUGAAACUGGCAGUCUUGAGUACAGUAGAGGUGGGCGGAAUUCGUGGUGUAGCGGUGAAAUGCUUAGAUAUCACGAAGAACUCCGAUUGCGAAGGCAGUUCACUGGACUGCAACUGACACUGAGGCUCGAAAGUGUGGGUAUCAAACAGGAUUAGAUACCCCUGUAGCC
rnacentral:rRNA from 1 species